CACAAACUAAAUACAAAAACAAAAACAACCCAAUUAAUAAUUAAUUGAUAUCAAAAUUUUUUUUAAUUAUUCAAUUUGUUAAAAUUACUUUUUAAAUUACGCGGGUGGAAAAUUAGUGACGAUUCGGUUUAAAUUUGAAAAUUUGAAAAUAAAAAACUUGUGAAGUGAUUGAGUGUCAGACUCGUGCAGUGAAAAAAAAUAAUAAUAAUUAAUGACCUGAAAUUUAUUGGAAUUAUUUUGUUAUCAAACGAUUGACUGUUGUUAGUGACUUCAGUGUUUAGAUGCGAGUUACUUCUCUGCUAUGAAUUUUUAUCAAAGAAAAUGAGGAUUUUUUGUAAAUAAUGACAGAAGAAUAAAUUAAAAAUGAAUUAACUUUUCGCUUGAUGUUACACAACCAAGAUUAUAAACAAAGAUCAAAAACAAACAAACUGGUGAAAUCUCAAGUACAAUAAUAACAACAAAACUCUCAGAUGUUAAGCAAAAAGCAAGUAAGCGUGGCACGCAAAAGGUUGGAAAAUAAUUUCCUCCUUCUAGCUGGCGCCUGAUUUGUAUGAAUAUGGAGCAUGCAGAUAAUCGGCGAUUGCUGAUAAAUAGUUCCCGUAAAUUAUUAAUAUCGAGAGCUCGCGGUGGGAUAAUCAAUAGCAAGAGCAGUAUCAUCAGUAACAUUAGACUAAAAUCCCUCAC
rnacentral:lncRNA from 1 species